rnacentral:rRNA from 1 species
AUUGAACGCUGGCGGCAGGCUUAACACAUGCAAGUCGAGCGAGCUGCGGACUUGUGAGUAAUGUCUUGGAAACUCCCUGAUGGAGGUGGAUAACUACUGGAACCGGUAGCUAAUCCCGCAUACCAUCAGAUGUUCCCAGAUGGGAUUAGCUAGUAGGUGGGGUAAUGGCUCACCUAGGCGACGAUCCCUAGCUGGUCUGAGAGGAUGACCAGCCACACUGGAACUGAGACACGGUCCGGACUCCUACGGGAGGCAGCAGUGGGGAAUAUUGCACAAUGGGCGCAAGCCUGAUGCAGCCAGGCCGCGUGUGUGAAGAAGGCCUUCGGGUUGUAAAGCACUUUCAGCGAGGAGGCGGUACUCGAAGAAGAAGCACCGGCUAACUCCGUGCCAGCAGCAGCGGUAAUAG